AAAAUCCCUUCGUGGAUCUAAAACCCUAAAAUCGGUCGUAUCCUUCAUACCAGAGCUCUGUAAAUGGCGUGGCGUGGUUCCAUUUCCCGGUCUCUCAUCUCAACCGCUAGGGCCACGACUUUCCGGUCAUCUCCGGCUGCCCCUCGCCUCCGUCCCCCGCCACUUUCCGCUCCUCGCCUCCAGUCUCGCCGCUCAUCUUUCGCCAAUCCCAGGAAACUGGGAGAGUUAGGAUGUACUCAAUCUCUCAUGCCAUUGUACGCCGGAGCUACAAUGACGGCGCGUCUGGACGUCAACUUGCGCGCUUUCUGCGAGCUUUAUAACGGUAUCUUUCGCCGUACUUGUCAAGAUCGGUAGUAUUGUCUUUGUAGAAGAGGAAAAGAUGGGUGAUGCACAGCACUAUCAAUGACAAGAUGGCCGAACAGAUCAUGAUAAUCUUAAUUGUACUUAAAAACGGCUAUGGUAUCUCUUUUGAUUUUGUAAUUUCUACUCUUUAGGCAGUUGAGGAAGAAGAUGGGUGAGCCAAAAGAACCUAGAUUCAUUCACAGGGAGAAACGAUAAUAACUAGAUUAUUCCUAUUUUUAGUAUUUGUUUUGAGGUUUUUCAUUGCUACAACAGUCAAUAAUUUAUGACAGGUUGUUUGGAGCUGUCAUUUUUGUUUGUA